AGACACAAAGUGGUGGCAGCAGAUUAGGCAGCAUCCCGGUGGGCAGGCACCCAGGGGCAGCAUUUGGCUGGGGCCCGGCUGGCCACGCCAGGCCGGCCUGGCUCCCUGCUCUGACUGGCUGCAGAAAGAGGAGGACGGAGACAUUUCCUCUGACACCUCUCACGCUACAGAGAGACGACCUGGGGCGGCUUUUAGCCUGCUGAGCCUUCCUCCGGGGGACAAGGGUCUAGGACAAGAUAGGAGGGAAUGGAAAAGAAGCCAUCCAACCCCCUGCCCCAAUCUGUAGCUCACCGCGUGUCAGAGCCCAGACUCCUCUUCAACGGAACAACAAAUCCCAGAGCACCUUCCCCUGAGCUCCCGAGUCAGCCUCCUCGUCUUUCUCAGAGCCGCGUAGUACUCCAGGGUGGAUCUACAAGCUUAUUCAACCGAUGCCCUGCACACGGACACCUGGGGCAUUGGAAUCUAUUGCUGAUGCAAACGCGGACCUGAUUGCCAGCACUGUGCUGAGGAAUGGGCCUCCACGGCAGUGAUUCCCAGAAGACGGCCGGGGUACAGGUGUUUUCUACUGUUUCUCGUGGAAAGGAUUUAAAGGCCGACAGACCUGGAUUCAAAUCCGCCUGAAAACGCCAUCAGGGGCUGCGAGACACUGAGAAAGUGGCUUGAAUUCUCAGAGCCUGUGUUUGGGUUUUUUGUUUGUUUGUUUAAGUGAAACGAUGCUGCCAUGCAAUAUAGGAUUAGUCUCUGGUGCA